AAUGGAUCCGUAACUUCGGGAAA
rnacentral:snRNA from 1 species